UCUCAUUGAUGUCCUCCACUCUUUUCUCAAGUUUGAAUCUUGGAAAUCCAAAAUCAAGGUGCCAGCAGAUUAUGUCUGGGGAGAGCCUACUGCCUAAAUUGCCAUCUUUUCACUGUAAUCUCACAUGUCAAAAGAGAUUUUUAUUUGAGAACAAGAACAAGAGUGAGAGCGAAAGCAAGAGAGGGAGAACAUGAGCAGGACAGAUAAAGAAGCAGAUUCACCACUGAGCAGAGAGCCUGAGGCAGGGCUCGAUCCCAGAGUCCCGGGAUUAUGACUUGAGCUGAAGGCCCAACUAACUGGAAUUUAAAUAAAAACUCUAAAAAAUGACA